GUACACUCCUACGGGAGGCAGCAGUGGGGAAUUUUGGACAAUGGGCGAAAGCCUGAUCCAGCAAUGCCGCGUGUGUGAAGAAGGCCUUCGGGUUGUAAAGCACUUUUGUCCGGAAAGAAAUCCUUGGCUCUAAUACAGUCGGGGGAUGACGGUACCGGAAGAAUAAGCACCGGCUAACUACGUGCCAGCAGCCGCGGUAAUACGUAGGGUGCGAGCGUUAAUCGGAAUUACUGGGCGUAAAGCGUGCGCAGGCGGUUUGCUAAGACCGAUGUGAAAUCCCCGGGCUCAACCUGGGAACUGCAUUGGUGACUGGCAGGCUAGAGUAUGGCAGAGGGGGGUAGAAUUCCACGUGUAGCAGUGAAAUGCGUAGAGAUGUGGAGGAAUACCGAUGGCGAAGGCAGCCCCCUGGGCCAAUACUGACGCUCAUGCACGAAAGCGUGGGGAGCAAACAGGAUUAGAUACCCGAGUAGUCCAUG
rnacentral:rRNA from 1 species